rnacentral:rRNA from 1 species
GACGUAGGGCGCGAGCGUUGUCCGGAAUUAUUGGGCGUAAAGAGCUCGUAGGCGGCUUGUUACGUCGACUGUGAAAACCCGCGGCUCAACCGUGUGGCUUGCAGUCGAUACGGGCAGGCUAGAGUUCGGUAGGGGAGACUGGAAUUCCUGGUGUAGCGGUGAAAUGCGCAGAUAUCAGGAGGAACACCGGUGGCGAAGGCGGGUCUCUGGGCCGAUACUGACGCUGAGGAGCGAAAGCGUGGGGAGCGAACAGG